GUAAGUGGGAAGGGGCCAGAGCUGUGGGGUCUUUUACAGAUAGAUAGCUGGGGCUCAGAGGAAGCCUGCCUGAGAAGUUGAACACUGCCCAUAUCAGUGGUCCACACAACACUUCUGUAAAAAAAAAAAAAAAAAAAAAAAGGAAUGGGGAUGGGACUCUUUCCUCAAAAUACUCUCUGUCAGAAAAUUAUGAUUGUAUACAAAUUUUGUUAAAACAAGAGUCUUCACUGCCAUCUGCUGAAAAAUUGUUGUAACAAAUAUGUGCGUUUGUGAUGUCAACAAUGAGUAUGGUGCCUGUUUGGUCAUGCUGCCCAACCUGCCCAACUAUGAACAGCAACCACUGUUCUUCCCUUGAAGUGCGAGGAGAGCCUCUGUGCUGGGCCUGUAGCAGUGGGCAGCGCCUUGAUGCAAAGGAAUUCACUCUUCCCAGGGGCUCUGCAGAUUGUAGAAGUGUCCAACUCCAGAAACUCUGCUAUUCUGAGGCUGCAAGGGAUCCCAUUAAGAAAAUCACGUUCAGAAAAACAGCAUCCAGAGAAACAAAAAGAAAUAUCCUUGCUUGUGGCCUUCUUUCCAGGUGUAGAAAUCUUCCUUAG
rnacentral:lncRNA from 12 species